UACGUAGGUGACAAGCGUUGUCCGGAUUUACUGGGCGUAAAGAGCGCGCAGGCGGUCGUUCAAGUCGAGUGUGAAAGCCCCCGGCUCAACUGGGGAGGGUCACUCGAUACUGAUCGACUCGAAGGCAGGAGAGGGAAGUGGAAUUCCCGGUGUAGUGGUGAAAUGCGUAGAUAUCGGGAGGAACACCAGUGGCGAAGGCGGCAUCCUGGACCGAGAUUGACGCUGAGGCGCGAAAGCCAGGGGAGCAAACGGG
rnacentral:rRNA from 1 species